rnacentral:rRNA from 1 species
AUGAGCUUCUACAGCCUUCCAGAGACUCUUCAUCACGAGAUUGCCACCGUUCAGGGGCGCUUCUUCUGGGCCGGCGAGGGUGAUAAGCAGAAAUACCACAUGGUCAGGUGGUCUGAGAGCUGCAACCCUCGCGACCAGGGCGGCCUUGGGAUCAUGUCCUCCAAACGCAUGAAUAUUGCCCUUCUGACUCGGUGGCUCUGGAGGAUUAGCAACGGAGAUGGUGGCCUGUGGCUACACAUUAUUCAACAGAAAUACCUCCGAGGCCAGCCUCCUGCCUUCUGUCAGCGAUCUGUGGGCUCCCAGUUCUGGCAAUCCAUCAUCCAGCUCCUCCCUGUCCUCCGGAUCGGGACCUCGAUCGAUAUUGGUUCC